rnacentral:rRNA from 1 species
GAUGAACGCUGGCGGCGUGCUUAACACAUGCAAGUCGAACGGAAAGGCUCCUGCUUGCAGGGGUACUCGAGUGGCGAACGGGUGAGUAACACGUGGGUGAUCUGCCCUGCACUUCGGGAUAAGCCUGGGAAACUGGGUCUAAUACCGGAUAGGACGAUGUUUUGGAUGCGAUUGUGGAGAGUUUUUCGGUGUGGGAUGAGCUCGCGGCCUAUCAGCUUGUUGGUGGGGUAAUGGCAUACCAAGGCGUCGACGGGUAGCCGGCCUGAGAGGGUGUACGGCCACAUUGGGCCUGAGGUACGGCCCAGACUCCUACGGGAGGCAGCAGUGGGGAAUCUUGCACAAUGGGGGCAAGCGUGAUGCAGCGACGCCGCGUGGGGGAUGCCGGCUUUCGGGUUGUAAACUCCUUUCGCUAGGGACGAAGAGAAAGUGACGGUACCUGGAGAAGAAGCACCGGCUAACUACGUG